GCGUAACGCGUAUGCAACCUACCUUUAACCGGGACAUAGCCCCGAGAAAUCGGGAUUAAUAUCCCAUAAUAUCCAGAAAACGCAUGUUUUCUGGAUUAAAGUUCCGGCGGUUAAAGAUGGGCAUGCGUGGCAUUAGUUAGUUGGUGAGGUAACGGCUCACCAAGGCAAUGAUGCCUAGGGGUCCUGAGAGGGUUUUCCCCCACACUGGUACUGAGACACGGACCAGACUCCUACGGGAGGCAGCAGUAAGGAAUAUUGGGCAAUAGGCGCAAGCCUGACCCAGCCAUGCCGCGUGCAGGAUGACGGCCCUAUGGGUUGUAAACUGCUUUUGUAUGGGAAAAAACUCCCGCACGUGUGCGGGACUGAUUGUACCAUACGAAUAAGCAUCGGCUAACUCCGUGCCAGCAGCCGCGGUAAUACGGAGGAUGCAAGCGUUAUCCGGAUUUAUUGGGUUUAAAGGGUGCGCAGGCGGAUUAGUAAGUCAGUGGUGAAAGCUCCCGGCUCAACCGGGAAAAUGCCAUUGAUACUGUUAAUCUUGAGUACAGUUGAGGUUGGCGGAAUGUAUCAUGUAACGGUGAAAUGCAUAGAUAUGAUACAGAACACCGAUAGCGAAGGCAGCUUACCAAACUGUAACUGACGCUCAUGCACGAAAGCGUGGGGAGCAAACAGGAUUAGAUACCCUGGUAGUCCACGCUGUAAACUAUGAUCACUCGCUGUUGGCGAUACACUGUCAGCGGCUUAGCGAAAGUGUUAAGUGAUCCACCUGGGGAGUACGAUCGCAAGGUUGAAACUCAAAGGAAUUGACGGGGGCCCGCACAAGCGGAGGAGCAUGUGGUUUAAUUCGAUGAUACGCGAGGAACCUUACCUGGGCUUAAAUGCAGAACGACCUCCCGAGAAAUCGGGACUUCCUUCGGGACGGACUGCAAGGUGCUGCAUGGUUGUCGUCAGCUCGUGCCGUGAGGUGUCGGGUUAAGUCCCAUAUCGA
rnacentral:rRNA from 1 species